rnacentral:lncRNA from 1 species
GCAAACAAGCUGCAACUGCGGGCUCGGCGGGAGGAAGGAGAAAGAAGAGGAGGCGGCGGUGGAGGAGGAGCAGGGCACAUAAACCAGGGCACUAAAGUUGUCUCGUGUUUCCUUCUGUUUAGAGUUCACACUUCGCGUCUAACUCUUGCGCACCAGUAGUGCAAUUAGCAAGCACAAAAGCCCUUAUUCGCGACGCUUACAAUCUUAAGUUAGCCUUAAUAAAACUUGAGGGGUUUUCCCCCUUUUUAAUUCUCUUUAACGCUAGAUCCAAGCCCGCCAUAGCGCCGCCCCUGCUCCCCCACCCCCAACCCGGUCCUCCUUUAGAUCGUGUGUGGCAUUUGUUUGGCUCUUUUAAAAGUCUAGUUCUGUUUGUUCUAAUGUCCUUUUAGGCGAGGCUGUGUUGGGACUGGUGGACUGCCUGGGCUUUAGCGACCCAACGAAGUGUUAAAUGCUAAUCCAACAUCUCUAGAAACAAACUAGUGUUUUGUUGAAACAUUUUAAAGCAACUAAGCAAACAAGCGUUUGGUUGUCCAGAAAACCAGAAGCGCCCCAACCCCGGGCUUUCUCAACUUUCUUGGCGGCAGCGGAGGGGGGGGGGCGGGUGGUGUAAGCACCCAAAACCUUGUCAGCUAUCCCUGCACUUUUCUUCUGCUCCGGUGAAGUGGGGGCAUUCUGAGCCAUUGUUCCGGAGAUCUUGCUCCCCACCACCAUCACCGGUCACCCAUCGAGCCUGGGGAGUCGAGCUCCUUUAACGAUCUGGAGCCAAGAGCAGAGUUUGGUUUCUAAGAGGAACCGGUCUGGCAAGGCAGCCUAGGUUAGGUGCCUGGGACGACAGGCCUCACCAACGUUUCCUGCACCCCGGAGACCUGCAAGCCUGCGGGAACUCAAGCGUAAACAGUGGCGGUUGUGGACAGAGGCCGGUCCCCUAUCCUUUCUAGGCUGCAGCGGUCCCCGGGCCCCGCAAGGAGCACGCUAGCAGCUCCAAACGCGCUUGCGCGCUGCGCUUUGGCCGCAGCAUUGCUGCUCUGGGGGAUGGGGGGGGGGGGGCAGGACACGCGACGACCCCGUGAUCGCUUGUAAGGCCGUCGCGGAACCGUCGCCUAGUGAGAGACCUGGAGCGGAAAAGGAGCCAGAGGUGUCCCUGUCUGGACCCCAUGGUUCCAGAGUUAGGGUUGGGAAGUCUCAUGGGCACCACCCGCAGGCAACUCAGGACGGAGGCGGCACCGGAGCCGGAUGGAGGCGUGGCCGGCGGGGGCCGCGACGGCGACAAGAGCGCAUCCCCGGCGCGCUCGGUUCUAUUGUUAUAUAAAAGUGCAGAGGCCGCCCCUCCCGGACGGAAAACCACCUGUGUGCGGCGACGGCGGGCCCUGCGGAAGGCGCGCGUCCCGAUCCGGUCAGCCCCUCGGGUCCCAGGGAAAGGAGCUGGGCUUUGUCCGGCCGCGACCGGGAGGCGGAAGCGCCGGCUGCGGCCCUUCCCGAAUCCGGGGCGCGGAGGGCGUCUAAGGUCACGGGAUCUCCCCAGCCCAGCGCCUCGCAGCCGGGUCCUACCUACUGUCGCCCGCAAAGCAAUUUGCAUUUUUAAUCACCCGCCUCUUCCGGGGUUUGGGAAAUGUGGGCUAAAACAGGGCGACUUGGAGGUCCAAGUAGCCAAUUUUGGAGCCCUCCCGCAGGCAGGCGCCCCAGAAGGAGCGUUUUGAUGAAAAUGGGGGUUGCCUCCAACCUCUCUCCGCGCCUUUUUUGGGCAGCACUGGGAACAAAACGCCCAUAUUUCAUUGGCUAGCUUCCAACUCCCGCUGGGGUAGGCCUGUGCUGCAGCUGACGCCCCCAGAUCCUUCCCCAUCUGUUACAGGUUUUCCCACCCUGAGACAUUUCAGUCUGUGGGACCAAUGGUUAGGAGGAGGGAAGUGGGGUGCUCCGCGGAAACGUGAAGGACAAGCCUCAACCUCCAAACAGAAGAGGGAAGCAGGUUGGGUUUUUCUUUACCAAAAUUUGAAGUGAAGCACCAGACAGUUGGGAGGUUGAUAAUAAUAUCUUUGCACACUGGUGGAGAGCUCUAAGCAUUUGUACCUAUGUUUCUGAGUCUGAAUUUUUUCCCACUUCCUUCAGGAAAUUUGACCUUUCGAUCUAACUA